UGAGGAAUUUUGCACAAUGGGAGCAAUCCUGACGCAGCAACGCCGCGUGGGUGAAGAAGGCCUUCGGGUCGUAAGCCCUGUCAGGUGGGAAGAAUGUCCUGGAAUUGAACAGGUUUCGGGAGUGACGGUACCACCAGAGGAAGCACCGGCUAACUCCGUGCCAGCAGCCGCGGUAAUACGGAGGUUCCAAGCGUUGUUCGGAAUUACUGGGCGUAAAGGGAGCGCAGGUGGGCGGUCCAGUCCAAAGUGGAAGCCCGGGGCUUAACCCCGGAAGUGCUUUGGAUACUAGCCGUCUUGAGUACGCGAGAGGAAGGCGGAAUUCAGGGUGUAGCGGUGAAAUGCUUAGAUAUCCUGAGGAACACCGGUGGCGAAAGCGGCCUUCUGGCGCGAAACUGACACUGAGGCUCGAAAGCGUGGGGAGCAAACG
rnacentral:rRNA from 1 species